rnacentral:rRNA from 1 species
UACGUAGGGACCAAGCGUUGUUCGGAUUUACUGGGCGUAAAGGGCGCGUAGGCGGCGUGGUAAGUCACUUGUGAAAUCUCUGAGCUUAACUCAGAACGGCCAAGUGAUACUGCUGUGCUAGAGUGCAGAAGGGGCAAUCGGAAUUCUUGGUGUAGCGGGGAAAUGCGUAGAUAUCAAGAGGAACACCUGAGGUGAAGACGGGUUGCUGGGCUGACACUGACGCUGAGGCGCGAAAGCCAGGGGAGCAAACGGG